rnacentral:rRNA from 1 species
CCUACGGGGGGCAGCAGUGGGGGAUAUUGCACAAUGGGGGGAACCCUGAUGCAGCGACGCCGCGUGGGUGAAGGAGCGUUUCGGCGCGUAAAGCCCUAUCGGCAGGGAAGAAGGAGGACGGUACCUGACUAAGAAGCCCCGGCUAACUACGUGCCAGCAGCCGCGGUAAUACGUAGGGGGCAAGCAUUAUCCGGAUUUACUGGGGGUAAAGGGAGCGUAGACGGCAGUGCAAGUCCGGAGUGAAAGCCCGGGGCUCAACCCUGGGACUGCUCUGGAAACUGUAAAGCUGGAGUGCGGGAGGGGCAGGCGGAAUUCCUGGUGUAGCGGUGAAAUGCGUAGAUAUCAGGAGGAACACCGGCGGCGAAGGCGGCCUGCUGGACCGUAACUGACGUUGAGGCUCGAAAGCGUGGGGAGCAAACAGGAUUAGAUACCCGAGUAGUC